AUUCAAUCUUUCCUUUUCACUCAUAUAAUAGCGGGGAUAUGGCCCGCGAGUUUCUACCGGAUUACCGUAAAUGAUCCGACUAUGGGUGAGCAAUGAUAGGUG
rnacentral:ncRNA from 2 species